AACCUAGCACACCUGCGGUGUGUACCUGCGGAAGGAUCAUUACUGAAGAAAUGGUAGCAGUUGAGCUGACUCCUAGGAGUAUGUGCUCGCUCUAUCGCUUUUUCUACUCUCCACUGUGCACCUAUUGUAGGCUAUGAUAACUCUCAAAAGUCUCUUACGAGUCGAUUGGACAGAAGGCUAUGCAAUUCAUUUGCUUGCUUUCGACUUUGUAGCCUAUGUCUAUACAAACUCUUGAUAGUC
rnacentral:misc_RNA from 1 species